rnacentral:rRNA from 1 species
CCUACGGGAGGCAGCAGUGGGGAAUAUUGGACAAUGGGCGAAAGCCUGAUCCAGCCAUGCCGCGUGUGUGAAGAAGGCCUUCGGGUUGUAAAGCACUUUCAGUGGGGAAGAAAGCCUUGGGGCUAAUACCCUCGAGGAAGGACAUCACCCACAGAAGAAGCACCGGCUAACUCCGUGCCAGCAGCCGCGGUAAUACGGAGGGUGCGAGCGUUAAUCGGAAUUACUGGGCGUAAAGCGCGCGUAGGCGGUCUGGUAAGCCGGUUGUGAAAGCCCCGGGCUCAACCUGGGAACGGCAUCCGGAACUGUCAGGCUAGAGUGCAGGAGAGGAAGGUAGAAUUCCCGGUGUAGCGGUGAAAUGCGUAGAGAUCGGGAGGAAUACCAGUGGCGAAGGCGGCCUUCUGGACUGACACUGACGCUGAGGUGCGAAAGCGUGGGUAGCAAACAGGAUUAGAUACCCCAGUAGUC